rnacentral:rRNA from 1 species
ACGGGUGAGUAAUAUAUCGGAACGUGCCCAGUAGUGGGGGAUAGCCCGGCGAAAGCCGGAUUAAUACCGCAUACGACCUAUGGGUGAAAGCGGGGGAUCGCAAGACCUCGCGCUAUUGGAGCGGCCGAUAUCAGAUUAGCUAGUUGGUGGGGUAAAGGCCUACCAAGGCGACGAUCUGUAGCUGGUCUGAGAGGACGACCAGCCACACUGGGACUGAGACACGGCCCAGACUCCUACGGGAGGCAGCAGUGGGGAAUUUUGGACAAUGGGCGCAAGCCUGUUCCAGCCAUGCCGCGUGCGGGAAGAAGGCCUUCGGGUUGUAAACCGCUUUUGUCAGGGAAGAAACGGUCUGACCUAAUACGUUGGACUAAUGACGGUACCUGAAGAAUAAGCACCGGCUAACUACGUGCCAGCAGCCGCGGUAAUACGUAGGGUGCAAGCGUUAAUCGGAAUUACUGGGCGUAAAGCGUGCGCAGGCGGCUUUGCAAGACAGAUGUGAAAUCCCCGGGCUCAACCUGGGAACUGCAUUUGUGACUGCAAGGCUGGAGUACGGUAGAGGGGGAUGGAAUUCCGCGUGUAGCAGUGAA